GUCCAUGGCCAGACCCCCUAACGCGCCGGAUCUCCUCUAUCUUGGACGCUAAGCAUGGUCGGGCCUGGUUAGUACUUGAAUGGGAGACCGCCUGGGAAUACCGGGUGCUGUAGGCU
rnacentral:rRNA from 1 species